rnacentral:rRNA from 1 species
UAAAGAUGGCGACCGGCGCACGGGUGAGUAACACGUAUCCAACCUGCCGAUAACUCAGGGAUAGCCUUUCGAAAGAAGGAUUAAUACCUGAUGGCAUAGGAUUAUCGCAUGAUGAUCCUAUUAAAGAUUUUCGGUUAUCGAUGGGGAUGCGUUCCAAUUAGUUUGUUGUCGGGGUAACGGCCCACCAAGACAGCGAUGGAUAAGGGUUCUGAGAGGAAGGUCCCCCACAUUGGAACUGAGACACGGUCCAAACUCCUACGGGAGGCAGCAGUGAGGAAUAUUGGUCAAUGGACGGGAGUCUGAACCAGCCAAGUAGCGUGAAGGAUGACUGCCCUAUGGGUUGUAAACUUCUUUUAUACGGGAAUAAAGUGAUCCACGUGUGGAUUUUUGUAUGUACCGUAUGAAUAAGGAUCGGCUAACUCCGUGCCAGCAGCCGCGGUAAUACGGAGGAUCCGAGCGUUAUCCGGAUUUAUUGGGUUUAAAGGGAGCGUAGGUGGAUUGUUAAGUCAGUUGUGAAAGUUUGCGGCUCAACCGUAAAAUUGCAGUUGAUACUGGCAGUCUUGAGUACAGUAGAGGUGGGCGGAAUUCGUGGUGUAGCGGUGAAAUGCUUAGAUAUCAC